rnacentral:rRNA from 1 species
AUGAACGCUGGCGGCGUGCCUAAUACAUGCAAGUCGAGCGAACAGACGAGGAGCUUGCUCCUCUGACGUUAGCGGCGGACGGGUGAGUAACACGUGGAUAACCUACCUAUAAGACUGGGAUAACUUCGGGAAACCGGAGCUAAUACCGGAUAAUAUAUUGAACCGCAUGGUUCAAUAGUGAAAGACGGUCUUGCUGUCACUUAUAGAUGGAUCCGCGCCGCAUUAGCUAGUUGGUAAGGUAACGGCUUACCAAGGCAACGAUGCGUAGCCGACCUGAGAGGGUGAUCGGCCACACUGGAACUGAGACACGGUCCAGACUCCUACGGGAGGCAGCAGUAGGGAAUCUUCCGCAAUGGGCGAAAGCCUGACGGAGCAACGCCGCGUGAGUGAUGAAGGUCUUCGGAUCGUAAAACUCUGUUAUUAGGGAAGAACAAAUGUGUAAGUAACUAUGCACGUCUUGACGGUACCUAAUCAGAAAGCCACGGCUAACUACGUG